GACAGAGGGGGCAAGCGUUGCUCGGAAUUACUGGGCGUAAAGGGCGCGUAGGCGGGAUGGCAAGUCGGUCGUGAAAUCCUUCGGCUCAACCGAAGAACGUCGAUCGAUACUGCUGUUCUUGAGGGUUGCAGAGGAGACUGGAAUUCCCGGUGUAGCGGUGAAAUGCGCAGAUAUCGGGAGGAACACCAGUAGCGAAAGCGGCUACCUGGCCCCAUUCUUGACGGCUGAGGCGCGAAAGCAUGGGGAGCGAACAGG
rnacentral:rRNA from 1 species